UGGAGAUAGGAGGGGGAGGGGGAGACAGAGAGUAUAGAGACACCGGUAGCUUUAGGACGUUAAAAGCCAUAGAACCGUCGGACGGGCCGGUCGCUACAAGAAAAAGAAAAUAGUAAGAGCAGCUCCCCAUUAACGCUUAGAACAAUAACGACAAGGCUGAAAGAUCCCGUUACGAGUGACCGAUCAAGUUUCAACAGUUUUAAGCUAGCCAAAUUUUAGAAGCUGCUUUGUCCAUUAUCACUUUGUUAUAAUAUAACAGGACUUGAGAGUGGUGAAAGUGAUAACUCUGGAUUUUUAAACCCUGAGAGGUUGGAACUAAGUGCAGAAAGCGGUGGUGUUCGAGCUCACCUGCCGCCAGGAUUUCUUCUCCGUCACUUCCACACCCGAAGACCGGGAACACCGGGAUUUUUUUGUGGUUUUUCUUUUUGUUUUGUUUUUUUUUGUAAAAACACAAGCCGAAUCUAUAGUAUAACACCGAGGAAAGAGGAGGAGGAUAAACACAAACACACACACAGCACGGCAGGCACAAAGAGCGGAGAGCAUCCAGAGAGGGGAAGAAGGCGGACCGCACGGAGAGAUAGAGCGCGGUGUGAGGACAACAACCCGACUGAGCAUCCUUCUUUAAUUUCUGAUCUGCUCAGGAAACACUGCACGGCCGUACAGUACAAACGGGGAUCCUGAACGCCGUUUAUCCACGGAAAGACUCCUCCAGCAUCAGUCGCUCGUCUCCAGGGAUAGCUGCUCCCGAUCUGUUUGCCCCUGAGCCCUGCAGUACCCAGUCGUCCUCUCCACUUUGUCCCGAUGAAGGAGGCUGAUGCCAUCAAGUUGUUUGUGGGGCAGAUUCCCCGUAAUCUGGAGGAGAAGGACCUCAAGCCUAUCUUUGAGCAGUUCGGCAAGAUCUAUGAGCUAACUGUGAUUAAGGACAAAUACACUGGCAUGCACAAAGGAUGUGCGUUUCUGACGUACUGUGCGAGAGAGUCUGCGCUGAAAGCCCAGAGCGCUCUUCAUGAGCAGAAAACACUACCAGGGAUGAAUCGGCCAAUCCAGGUGAAACCAGCUGACAGCGAGGGCAGAGGCGAGGACAGGAAGUUAUUUGUGGGCAUGCUGGGAAAGCAGCAAAGCGAUGAGGACGUCAGAAGGCUGUUUGAGCCCUUUGGCAGCAUAGAUGAGUGUACUGUCUUGAGAGGGCCUGAUGGCACCAGCAAAGGGUGCGCUUUCGUGAAAUUCCAAGGACAUGCCGAAGCCCAAGCUGCCAUCAACAGCUUGCACGGGAGCCGCACAAUGCCUGGGGCGUCGUCCAGUCUGGUGGUGAAGUUUGCGGACACAGAGAAGGAGCGGGGGCUGAGGAGGAUGCAGCAGGUGGCCUCCCAACUCGGCAUCUUCAGCCCCAUGACCCUCAAUUUCCCCGCCUACAAUGCCUACACGCAGGCGGUCAACGCACAGCUUGUCCAACAGCAGGCCCUGGUUGCCCAGUCAGCGUACUUGUCUCCUGUGGCAACAGUUGCCGCCGUACAGAUGCAGCAGAUGGCAGCACUCAAUGCCAAUGGAAUCAUUGCCACACCCAUUACACCCAUCACACCAUCCUCGGGUACAAACACCCCCCCAACUAUUGCAGCAACACCUGUGCCAGCGCUUCCUCCACCGAUAGGAGUGAACGGUUACAGCAGCGUGCCAGCUCCCUCCAAUGGGCAACAAACAGAAACACUAUACACCAAUGGCGUUCACCCAUAUCAAGCUCAGAGUCCAGCAGCAGCCUUGGACCCACUACAGCAGGCCUACGCAGGCAUGCAGCACUACACAGCGGCGUACCCUGCUGCGUACGGAUUGGUCGGGCAGCCGUUCCCCCAGCAGCCAACACUUGUUGCCCAGCAACACCAGCAGCCCCAGCAACAGCAGCAGAGAGAAGGUCCAGAGGGGUGUAACAUCUUCAUCUACCACCUGCCUCAGGAGUUCAGUGACUCUGAGAUGCUGCAGAUGUUCCUGCCUUUUGGCAAUGUCAUCUCAGCCAAGGUGUUUGUGGACCGUGCCACCAACCAGAGCAAAUGCUUCGGAUUUGUGAGUUUUGACAACCCAGCCAGCGCUCAGGCCGCCAUCCAGGCCAUGAAUGGCUUCCAGAUUGGCAUGAAGAGACUGAAAGUGCAGCUCAAAAGGCCGAAAGAUGCCAACCGCCCAUACUAAGUGAUUACUGAGAGGAUGAAGAACAAGUGAAGAGAGAUCCUUCCGUCCAAUCAUAAUUCACGAGGACCCCAUCGCUAUGGCAAUGGUUGCCUAGUGACCGAUAAAGCCCCGACCCCCCCUUCCUCUCACAUUGUUGUUUUUUCUCUCUGCUUCUCCCCCCUCCAGUCUCCUCUUUCUAUCCCUCUAGCUCGUGUUUUGAGGUGACCUUUCAGAGUCCAGCCGAGGAGGAAUCCCAGGGUUCAUUGUGCUUUCAGACUGUCUGCUGCCUGUGAGCGUACGCGGACUGCAGCCACACUCACGCAAACACACAAACAUACAUCGACACCGAACCUCAAAGGGUUCGCGGCUGAUAUGUACAUAAAAUGCACAAACACACACACAGACACACUUGCUGACACUUACACAAAUACACACACGAGUCAGUAAUCUCACCCAUACGGCCGAGACCUUGGUUUGACCGUAGUCUGUGUGGAACAGGGUGUUUAGUACAGCUAAGACAACUCAGACCAAGUGAGAAGGGUGAAAUCAACCUGCUGAUAUAUCACUCCAAUAGACUUUAACUUGUCUAUACCAUGUCUAAUACAUGACAAAUAUAGAGGGACCGAUGUUUCAUAAUAAAAACCCAAGAAAAUACAAAAAAGACGACUAAAUGAGUAGGUUAGAGAGACUUUGGAGAAGAUCCUAAUGACCUGUAAAUAGUUUAGUUUACAAAGAGCAGCAUUUAAAAAACAAGAAAAAAUGCAAAAAGAAUACUACUUUAGAUAAACACUGAGCAGGACACAGCAACAUUAUUAUUAUUAUUAUUAUUAUUAUUAUUAUUAUUAUCAUUAUUAUUAUUAUUACCACUAGUAACAUCAUCAUCUUCAUGAAAGGAUAAUACAUUCCAAAUUGUAAAAUGGGAAAUCACUAACCUAUUUUAAAUUUCUACUUAGACUUUAGGUGAAACACGGGGGAGGGAGGGAUUGCACUUUUAUUCGGGAGGUUUUAAUAUUUGAGCUAUUUUUUAUUUAUUUACUAAUUUAUCAAUUAUUUUGUUUAUUGGGAGAAAAGGGGGUUUGAGUGGGUUGCAAUAUUUUGAUUUAGGAUUUUCUAGAGAAAAAAAAAACAACUUUUGAGGGUCUGUUUCUCUCACUUCUUGCAAUCGAGUAAUUAUAAUGUAUGUAUUAAUUAUUACAGCAAUUAUAUUUAUUUCUAAUUUAUUGAAUCCUGUUUUUGAUCCACUCUCUUUUUAAGUUUAAAUAAAAAGUAUCAUACUAAAA